ACUUUUUGGUUUUGUAAUUGGAAUGAGUUAAGUAUAAACCCCUUUACAAGUAUCAAUUGGAGGGCAAGUCUGGUGCCAGCAGCCGCGGUAAUUCCAGCUCCAAUAGCGUAUAUUAAAGUUGUUGCAGUUAAAAAGCUCGUAGUUAGAUUUCUGUUAAUAAUUUAUAUAAAAUAUUUUGAAUAUUUAUAUAACAUUAACAUAAUUCAUAUUACUAUAUUUUUUAGUAUAUGAAAUUUUACCUUGA
rnacentral:rRNA from 1 species